rnacentral:rRNA from 1 species
ACGGGAGGCAGCAGUAGGGAAUAUUGCACAAUGGGGGAAACCCUGAUGCAGCAACGCCACGUGUGGGAAGACGCAUUUCGGUGUGUAAACCACUGUCGUGAGGGAAUAAGGCUACUUCUCGGAGUAGUUGAAUGUACCUCGAAAGGAAGCCCCGGCUAACUACGUGCCAGCAGCCGCGGUAAUACGUAGGGGGCAAGCGUUAUCCGGAUUUACUGGGUGUAAAGGGAGCGUAGACGGCUUUGCAAGUCUGAAGUGAAAGCCCGGGGCUCAACCCCGGAACUGCUUUGGAAACUGUAGAGCUAGAGUGCAGGAGAGGUAAGUGGAAUUCCUAGUGUAGCGGUGAAAUGCGUAGAUAUUAGGAGGAACACCAGUGGCGAAGGCGGCUUACUGGACUGUAACUGACGUUGAGGCUCGAAGGCGUGGGGAGCAAACAGGAUUAGAUACCCUGGUA